CAAACUUGUCCAGCAGAUUGGGAGACGCUAAGAAACUCCCCGAAAUAAUAUUAAUAACACGAUUUAAAAAAAAUUAACGGACUGGGAGAGGUGAUGCAAAAUGCUGAUGACUGGGAAGCUCGAACAUGCCCGACGGCCUGCUUGGAGGAUGACCAGUUGAUUGGAAAAACACCAAAAUGUGCCUGUAAACCCCAAAUAAUCCCACGACACGAUUUUUUUCUUAACCCUUAAUUAAACUACAAAUAACAGUUUGUGCAGUCAGACUGCGCGCAGGCAGCACGACCAACUCAAGCCCUGAAGUUGCAGAAGGCCAGACAGAUUUUCUACAAGUUUCAGGUAACAAAGCUGCAUCCGGAAAAAAUAUCUAUAUAAUAUCGAGCAAUGUAGUUUGUAGAACGAAAAAAUAGUAGAGGUCUGUAUCACAAUGUGCAGCCAGAAAUAAUAUUUAUUAGCAUCACAGUCAGACAGGGGUUUAUUUGACGCACAAGUGACCACUAAUCAAAUGCAGUUCGAGUUUUUUUAAAGAAAAUUGGCCUAUAUAUUUUAAGAAAUGUCCCGCAGACAUAUUUCCUUAAAAUCGAAAAGGCAAAGAAAAAGACUUUCUGUCUUUCAUGAGUGCAUUUACCUGCAAAACACAUCUGUGGGGAAACUGUGAACUGUGCAUUAAUUUAGAAAUGUCACCUCACCGCAUUGAGUUUAUUAAUAAUGACAAUGUUUCUUUAUGAGGAAUUCCGAAGAGCAGGCCUAAAAUAAAUACCGGAAUCACACCUGAACUGCAUCUGGACCAACAUUAAGGUAUUUAAUACUACAAUAAAAGCGCGUUAUUUGUAUUAAUUAUUUAAAACGGAAAAGUUGUUGUGUAAUUCAUUGCGUCACUAAACAAUGGUGGGACAAAUUCUUUGAAAUGUAUUAAAAAUCUGCACACUGAAUCAUUAAUGCUAUAGGGAAACCUACUUGAACUUGUUUAUAAAUAUCACUUAAAUAAUAAUAAUUUAUACUUCUUUGUCUUGAUGCUGAUGCACCUUAUGAUUAACCUCAAUUCAAUUAAGUAAUAAUUCCUAUGUUUUUCCUAAAAUAAUAUUAAUGAAAAUGUGGGAUGUUCCUCUCAGUCUUAUUCAGAUCUCCUAAAAUCAUUUUGUUUAUGACACAUAAACCAUUCCAACCAUUAGAUUGCUUUAUUCGGUAGAGACAGUGGCCACAAUAAUAAAAUAACUCACAUGGUUUUGUCAUAAACUCUUGAUUUCUAUUAUUAAAAAAACAAAAGUAGAGCCACUCGCAGAAAAGUUGAUGAGUUUUGCUCCUUUGAAAUGUUUCUUGGAAGAAAACAUUGAAUAAAAAUCUACAAAAAGAUUCAAUUGAUAUGUUCCAAAAGUUACAAAACAAACUGUGGGAAAUUUGUUGGCGUGCAUUGGCCCUAAUCAUGUAAGGCAACCUAUAAGCGUCAAUUAGGCUGAGCUUUGGGUUAAUGAAAGCUCUGAGCGGUGUCUCUUACCACAGCCCCCUUAAACCAGCCAUUACUGCAGACCACAAUGGCUCUGAUACCACACUGUUUUAAGACCCAGCAUUAUGUGGGCAAUAAGUUCCCUAAAACCUCACUGUGAGAAGAGAAGGGCACAUUGUGGGAUCAGACAGGCAAAUUCAGACAACAUGGGAAGACUUUUUCUAAGUCCUAAGUGCUCGUCUGUAAACCCCAAAAUGAAUAAAAAUUACAAGUUUUCGAUCCCAGGCUGGAAUACAACUGCGAACCGUGAUUGACUUGUUUAAAGUAAUUAUGAGAGAAGAGACCAUGCAAUACAUUUCUGCUCAAUGGAUGGCAUUGAAGUAAACUGUAGUAGAUAAAUAUUCAUUCUUAUUAAAGAUGGACUUGUUGCCAACACUUGUUUACAGAUUUAGAGGACAGAGGAACAAAAGUACGAGCCAGUAACAGAGAUUGUCUUAUUGAGAUUCACAGCCAUAUAAACUUUAAUCAACAGGUAAACAUUCUAUCAAAGAAAUUAUAAAAUAAUAAAUUGUAUAAUGACAAUAUCAGGAAAUAUAUAUAAUAUAUGUAUUUUAAGAGGUUACAGAGACAAUAUGGCUUCUGAAGAAUUCAUGAUGUUGUAGACAUUUUCUACCCGCAGGAGCACAACAAGUGAAACGUUCCCUUCUCGGCCCCGAAACCAAAAUCUCAAUGCUCUGAUUAUAAUUUAUUUUUUACAAAAGAUGAUGGUGACAAUAAAUUGUAGCAACAGGGUGAAGGUCAAACAUAGCAAAUAUAAAAAUCUAUCUCCUCAGAAGUGCUAACUAGCGUGGGUGAAGCAGAAAGACAUUCAAUAAAACCUGAAUCCCUAAAAUAAAGAGGGAAAAAAAACAAUGCGAAAGAAAAAUGCCCCUUUAGCUCCACUGUGCUUUUUACAAAAUGUCGAUAUUUUAUCUACAAAUGUGCAAGAUCACAAAAAGAACUAUUAGGGGUCAAUCAAGGGGUCAAUACAGAGGAGUUGGAGAAAGGUGUCAGUAUUAUUCCAGCCUGAUAAGUCAAAUUUAAGAUUCAUGUCAGAGCCAGCAGUAUACUACAAAACACUGCAGUACAACACACAAUACAAAUAAAAAAUGAAAGGCCUCAGUCCUGCUGCCACCUAUUAGAAGCUGCUCUGACUCCUGGCUGUAUACUGACAUCUACACCCCGCCUGUGCUCACUGCCCUCAGCUGCAGUGAAGUUAGGGGAAAAUUAAAUACUCUGUUGGCCUUAUAUAAAAUAUACUCUGUACCAAGACCAUAUAUCAAACUCAGACGGGAACUAUUUUUUUCCCUCUCUCCAGUCUUCAUUCCUCUCCCCGCUAAAAGAAAUGGUGUGGAGAAUUCUGCGUCUCCAUGCGAGAAGUGCAAUAAGCGGUGGAAAGGGAAAGGAAAAAACAAGGCUCUUUUUGUCUGCGGCGGCCGAGGUUUUAUCCCUGCAUUGCCGAGUGUUGUCUAGCAUUACAAAUCUCAGCCCUGGCCUGGAUGGACACAGGAGGACUCUGCUGGCCUUGCUCACACUGUCUGCAUCCUUUACGCUCUGCCAUGCAAAUAAACCCAAAUGAGAGAGCAGCUGAGGGAGAGAGAGAAAGAGAGAAAGAGAGAGAGAGAGAGAGGGAGAGAGGGAGAGAGAGAGCCACGGAGAUGGAGGGUUGUUGAAGGAAAAAAAAAGAUGGAAGGAAGGAAGGGAAAUGAAGGAUGGGAUGGCUGCAAAGAGGAAAUGAAGAAAUGUAUGUGGCAAGUAAGGAAGGAAGGAAAUAGUUGGGUUUGAAGUAGUUGCAUAGGGACAAAAAGAGAGUAAGUCUGUGUGUGCUUGUGUGCAACAGAAAGAAAGAGAAAAAGAGUGGGCACUAACCGGCCAUUGGAGGGGAGAGGAAUGCCCGGCCCUGGCACAGGAGAAUGGGAUGGAGGGUGGAGUAUGUUCACAUUGCUGCUGCCAGCCGAGCACAUUCCCUCUACAGAGUCAUGGAGACUUUUUAACCUACAGAUUUUGAAGCAGCUGCAGUUUCCUUCAGGAGAGUUUUCCCGCUGAGGUAUACAAUAAUACAGGUCUAAUUGCGUUUCAUUUAAUGAAACGCUUAAGAAUUAAGGCCUCUAAAAUGAUCCCAAGUGAUGCUGAAAUCAUCUGCAGAGAUCAAAGACAGACAUUAACAAUCCGUUAUUUUCUUAAGAUUGGCUUUUUUGGCUUUUAAUUCACUUGACAGCAGAGAUUGACAGGACAAUUGGCAAGAGAGUGUGACAUGCAAUUAAUGUCCCCAUCCAGAUUUGACCAGGGAACUUUGUGAUCAUGGUCUGAGCCUUAUACCACCAGGGAUCUCCCGAACAAUAUAUGUUUUCAUUACAGGCUGUAGCAUCCGCCUUCUGGAACGAUGACCCCCAUAACAUAAACACAUAUCCUGAUAAGAAAGAGGGGAUUUCAAUUUAAUAAAAAAUAAUAAUUUCAGACUAAAAAAUAAAAGGUCAUCUCCUUUCUUUCAAAGAGUGUUUAGUGGAAGGAAAUUAAAUAUUCAGCGUCACAAAAGGCACAUUAUAUCAAAAACCCUAAGUGCAUUUAGCAGUCCAUUGUACCACAACUGUCCACAAGUCAAAUGGCUUCUGGAAAAAAACAAACUUCCUUCCAUCUGAGAGGCGAUCUAUAAUGCAUUCCUGAAUAAAGUCAUAAAGGAGGUGUGGUGCUUUUUUUGAGGACUGAUUUGGGUGAUCUCUUAUUGUUCUGACAAUGUCAGAAAAAAAUAAUUUCAAUAUCUUCAAGUUAAUCAGAAAUAAAAAUAAACAAUUCAUUUGCACACAUUUGUAUGUCCAAUCUAGUUAUGUGGAAAGUAUUUAUGAUCACAUUUAUGUUUCAUGUACUUUUAUUUUACUUGAGUAUUUCCAUGUCAUUCUGCUUCAUACUUACACUCCACAUUUAAGAGGGAAAUAUACUUUACAGAUUUGGUAACUUUUUACUUGUGGUUUAAUAUUGUAUAUUUCUAAACAUAUGAUAAUUUUUAUACAAUCAUGUAAUUAAGCUGCACAACAGUACAUAAAGUAGUUAAAACUAUCUCCAUCUUGACCAUUUGCAACAUUAAAAUGUUGUUAAUAUGUUAUGUUAAUAAUCCAAUAAUAUAAAACAUAACAAUAAAACACUAAAAGGAAAAGGGGUCAUUCAUCUGAAUUAAACUUUGACAGUUAGAGUACAUUUUGCUUAUUAUACUUCACUUAAAUAAGGUUUUGAAUGCAAGACUUUAACUAGUAAUCGAGUAUUGUUACAUUGUAAAACUUUUACUUAAGUAAAGGAUCUAAGUACUUCUUCUGUGGUUUUAACUCUUUGUGAAGCUCUUCACGUCUCAGGUCAGGGACAAAGAUUAUGAGCCGGAGUCAAACCUGCAACAUCCAGAGAGUGUGACGUGAAGACUACGCGAGCCGUUUGUGUUUCUGAAGAGAGACCUCACCUUUCCAAGAAUUCGGCCGAGACUUAGCAAACGUGACCUGAUGUGAGGUCAUCUGAACUGCAGCACACACAGGCU